rnacentral:lncRNA from 1 species
CCCCCGUGACCAGGCCUGGCCACGAAGCGCUCCUGCAGCUGGAUUUCCCCCUGACCAGCUACCCCAGGACCCGCUUCCCACUGCUUGGCUCCCUGUUUUCCCUUGCCUGUGCCAUUUCCAAAAGCACCGGGCAGGUGCAGGUAUCUGAGGCUCUGUUACUGCUUUUAGGUGUCACUGUUUGUUAUCCCCACCAGGGGGAAGGUUCAGCUUCUGUCGUUGCUGGCUUGGUCCUAGCUCACAAGCCAGAUGCAUCGGGUCAGCUUCAUCCUUGACAUCCCUUUGGGCAGCCGAUGCGAGGAACUGGCUCCCAUCAGCACGGCUCCCCCUUCGCAGCCUCCUCCUUCCAGGGGCAGGAGGUAGCCCAGGCGUGCUCGCCUCCCCACGGGAACGGCCCAAAGCCUCCCCGUCCCCCCCGCUGUGGCUCGGCAGAGGCUGAAAUGGCCUGGGAUGGAGAUCCCAGGCAGGGGCUGCGGUGAGGGGCAACUGAAAGCCGACGGCGAGAAAACCUCCUCUCACACGGUGUCUCAUGAAGCAUGACAUCUGCCUGCCCGAGGGCCGGGGCAAAAAUCCCCGAGCAGGGAGGCUCCCGGGUCGGCAGCGUCACGCCUGGAGGGUUGGCCGCUCGCUGAGGGGAAACCGAGGCACGCACGGAUUGAUGGGCUUCUUGCACGUUAACAGCAGAGCCAGGGAGACCCCCCAGGUCUCCGAGCCCAGCUCCUGCCCUGCCCAGGCCCUGCUCGGAUUAGGGACCAGGGGAGGACGUGGCUGAGGCACAGCAGAGCAGGAUCUCAAGGUCGAUGUUGCAUAUGCGACCCAGCCUUGCUGGCCCACUGUCUUUAUUAUCUGC